rnacentral:rRNA from 1 species
AUUGAACGCUGGCGGCAGGCCUAACACAUGCAAGUCGAGCGGCAGCACGGGUACUUGUACCUGGUGGCGAGCGGCGGACGGGUGAGUAAUGCCUAGGAAUCUGCCUGGUAGUGGGGGAUAACGUCCGGAAACGGGCGCUAAUACCGCAUACGUCCUACGGGAGAAAGUGGGGGAUCUUCGGACCUCACGCUAUUAGAUGAGCCUAGGUCGGAUUAGCUAGUUGGUGAGGUAAUGGCCCACCAAGGCGACGUUCCGUAACUGGUCUGAGAGGAUGAUCAGUCAAACUGGAACUGGGACACGGUCCAGACUACUACGGGAGGCAGCAGUGGGGAAUAUUGGACAAUGGGCGAAAGCCUGAUCCAGCCAUGGCGCGUGUGUGAAGAAGGUCUGCGGAUUGUAAAGCACUUUAAGUUGGGAGGAAGGGCAGUUACCUAAUACGUGAUUGUUUUGACGUUACCGACAGAAUAAGCACCGGCUAGCUCUGUGCCAGCAGCCGCGGUAA